UGUGCCAGCUGGGUUUCAGGCUGGUGACCCAGAGGUGUGGCUACUGAGUAGGCGGGUGUAAAACCAGCAGAGUGAUCAGGCAGUGUGGGUGGAACGUCGGCGAGAAGAGGAGAGGCAGGGCCGGUAUCCAUCGUGUUUCCACCUAGGAUUUCAGAGGCAAUGACAAGCCAAAGCCAGGCCAGGGUGGAGACUUGGGUAGGAGAACAGGGUGAGGCUUGGGGAUCCACGGGCCAGGAGGAAGAUGUGGAACCUGAUUAGGAAGGCCUGGCAGGAUGGCAACUUCCCUUUAACUUUGGGUAAUUGUGCCCCAGAGUGAUGCCUAGCCGGGUGACAUUCAUGUUCCCCGGACCCCCGAGGUUGGAGGGGACAAGCUUAUACUUACUUGCUGACUGCCUGAGAGCACUCAGUGUUGUGGCUGUAGACUGCGCUCCCUGUGUUCUGUUUGAGGGUAUGGUGGGCAUUCCCAUGAGACUAGAGGUGGGGGGAGUUGAGAGAAGGGUUUGGAGGAGAAAGAGUGAUAGCAAGUGCUACAUCCAUGGCUGAAGCCUGCUCAGCCUCUCAGGACCAUGGCCCUGGCUUCCUCUUAGAAGCCCGCCUUGAAUUUUGCCAGGCAGAGAAGGCAUCCCUGUUCUUCAGCUCCAGCCUGACUGAGCCUUGGCCUUGGCUACCAGUGACUGACCCUGAACACCUGCAGCCAGCAUCCUGCAGAGAAGGGCCAGCUGUACCCAGCAGCUUAUGUGGGACUGGGCUGGAAGCCCCUCCCUGGGGUGACAGGCUCCACUUUCCUCUUCUCUGUGAGUCUUCCUAUACCUGUAGGAUCAAGGUUGCUCAGCAGGGCAGCAGAUGCAGAAACGGGAACUUAGCUUAGGAUCUGAGCCCUAGGCUGGCUGAGCCCUAGGCUUAUCUCUGGCCAGGCAGGGCAACAUGAAUGUGUCAUGUCAGAAACAUAAAUGGGCAUGUUUCUGUCUUUCAGCAGUGUUAGAAUUUAUUGAGUAACUCUAAAUUCAC
rnacentral:lncRNA from 1 species